CUCUGAAAGGAGAAGCAAAACGCCAAAGUUCCAUCUCGAGGAACGAGCCCUUGCAGAAGGAAAUAAUAUCUGGAGACGGUUCUUCCAGAUGUGUCCAAGGAAAAAGAAUGUCAGGGUAGGCUUUAGUUGAUGGGGGGACUAUGCACACUGGAAGAUUUAGCACACAAGAAGGGAAAUACAUCUACUGAUUCAAGGUGCUACUGACAACUGAGGCAGCGAUCCGGGCCAAGGAGCGAGGGUGGAUCCACGGCAGCAGAAUCAAAGGACCCGUGCAGGAACCUAAGGAGUGGACUAGAACAUCUAAGCCUGGGGAUACCAAGGUAACUCUUAAGAGGGAACUGGGGGUUAAUGCGCUGGGAAAACCCAAAUGAUUCAAGAGAUACACCAAGAAUCACACCUGACUGGGAAAUAAGGCCAAGCUUAUAGCAGUGGUUUCAAGUGUUGCCUGGACAAGUCCUGAGACACCUCCGAUACCCUCCUUGGGGAGGAAUCCUUCCACUCCAAAUAGGACGAUCAGGACUAUUUUGGGCUGAGGGUUCUCAUAUUCUGCCCUUAGCCUGUGAUUUAUUCAAAAAGGAGGAGGAAUUGCUACCUCCAACAGUGCCAUACCACAUACCCUGUCUAAUUCAUCCCAUUACUGGACAUGCUAGCUGGGUUAAAUGUAAAUGUCUAGACUGAUAAAAUAUUGCUAUUGUAGUUCACAGAAACGACACUCUCACUGCACGAAGUGUCGAACGCCAAAUCUAUUCCCCAAUCCAGGCAGAGCAAAGAACAGCUGAAACAGUAACCCUGCUUUGUGGAUGGGAAUUACUAGUGCCUGUUGAAUGGGAGAUACCUGAGGAACGGUGGGAAGCUACAAUUAAGAAGUGUCAAAA